AUGCGCGACUGCGGCUGCCGCUUCGGCGGACCAAGCCGAGGCCGAGGCGACUCGCGCGGGGAUGAUGAAUCCACCCGGCAGCCACGCCCAGUACGCGCCCUGGGGCCAGCAAGGCGUCGGCUCUCCGUCGCAGCAGCCAUGGGGAUCGCCCUCGCCGGGCUACGCCGACGGGGACGCGCACGGUGGGUUCAACCCAAACGUCACCUUCCCAUGGACACCCGGCCCAGCGCACGCCCUUGCCCGCCUUCGCCGGCGUGCAGUACCCUCCAUACAACUACUCGCAGCCCGCCUACGCUUCCUCCCCGACGCCCCCUCUCUGCCGUGGCGCGCUGCCCUUCUCGCACCUCGGCGACACUGACCUGGCUUUCCUGCUGGGCGGGGCGGACAUGCUCCAGAGCAACGACGAGGCGUUCAAGGCGUGGUACUUGGCGGAGCAUGGCCUCAUCCUGA
rnacentral:rRNA from 1 species